GGGGUAUUAGUUUUCGGACUAGAGACCGGCGCACGGGUGCGUAACGCGUAUGCAAUCUACCUUUUACAGAGGGAUAGCCCAGAGAAAUUUGGAUUAAUACCUCAUAGUAUAAUGACUCGGCAUCGAGAUAUUAUUAAAGUCACAACGGUAAAAGAUGAGCAUGCGUCCCAUUAGCUAGUUGGUAAGGUAACGGCUUACCAAGGCUACGAUGGGUAGGGGUCCUGAGAGGGAGAUCCCCCACACUGGUACUGAGACACGGACCAGACUCCUACGGGAGGCAGCAGUGAGGAAUAUUGGACAAUGGGCGCAAGCCUGAUCCAGCCAUGCCGCGUGCAGGAUGACGGUCCUAUGGAUUGUAAACUGCUUUUAUACGAGAAGAAACACUGCUUCGUGAAGCAGCUUGACGGUAUCGUAAGAAUAAGGAUCGGCUAACUCCGUGCCAGCAGCCGCGGUAAUACGGAGGAUCCAAGCGUUAUCCGGAAUCAUUGGGUUUAAAGGGUCCGUAGGCGGUUUAAUAAGUCAGUGGUGAAAGCCCAUCGCUCAACGGUGGAACGGCCAUUGAUACU
rnacentral:rRNA from 1 species